UAAAGGUAUUCCGGUAGACGAUGGGGAUGCGUUCCAUUAGAUAGUAGGCGGGGUAACGGCCCACCUAGUCUUCGAUGGAUAGGGGUUCUGAGAGGAAGGUCCCCCACAUUGGAACUGAGACACGGUCCAAACUCCUACGGGAGGCAGCAGUGAGGAAUAUUGGUCAAUGGGCGAGAGCCUGAACCAGCCAAGUAGCGUGAAGGAUGACUGCCCUAUGGGUUGUAAACUUCUUUUAUAAAGGAAUAAAGUCGGGUAUGCAUACCCGUUUGCAUGUACUUUAUGAAUAAGGAUCGGCUAACUCCGUGCCAGCAGCCGCGGUAAUACGGAGGAUCCGAGCGUUAUCCGGAUUUAUUGGGUUUAAAGGGAGCGUAGAUGGAUGUUUAAGUCAGUUGUGAAAGUUUGCGGCUCAACCGUAAAAUUGCAGUUGAUACUGGAUAUCUUGAGCGCAGUUGAGGCAGGCGGAAUUCGUGGUGUAGCGGUGAAAUGCUUAGAUAUCACGAGGAACUCCGAUUGCGAAGGCAGCCUGCUAAGCCGCAACUGACAUUGAGGCUCGAAAGUGUGGGUAUCAAACAGGAUUAGAUACCCUGGUAGUCCACACGGUAAACGAUGAAUACUCGCUGUUUGCGAUAUACGGCAAGCGGCCA
rnacentral:rRNA from 1 species